GAUGAACGCUGGCGGCGUGCCUAAUACAUGCAAGUCGAGCGAACGGACGAGAAGCUUGCUUCUCUGAUGUUAGCGGCGGACGGGUGAGUAACACGUGGAUAACCUACCUAUAAGACUGGGAUAACUUCGGGAAACCGGAGCUAAUACCGGAUAAUAUUUUGAACCGCAUGGUUCAAAAGUGAAAGACGGUCUUGCUGUCACUUAUAGAUGGAUCCGCGCUGCAUUAGCUAGUUGGUAAGGUAACGGCUUACCAAGGCAACGAUGCAUAGCCGACCGGGGAGGGUGACCGCCCACACUGAAACUGGGAACGGUCCCAAACUCCUACGGGAGGCAGCAGUAGGGAAUCUUCCGAAAUGGGCGAAAGCCUGACGGAGCAACGCCGCGUGAGUGAUGAAGGUCUUCGGAUCGUAAAACUCUGUUAUUGGGAAGAACAUAUGUGUAAGUAACUGUGCACAUCUUGACGGUACCUAAUCAGAAAGCCACGGCUAACUACGUG
rnacentral:rRNA from 1 species